GACGAACGCUGGCGGCGUGCCUAAUACAUGCAAGUCGAGCGAAGUUUUUCUGGUGCUUGCACCGGAAAAACUUAGCGGUGAACGGGUGAGUAACACGUAAAGAACCUGCCUCAUAGACUGGGACAACUAUUGGAAACGAUAGCUAAUACCGGAUAAUAGCAUUAACUGCAUGGUUGAUGUUUAAAAGUUGGUUUUGCUAACACUAUGAGAUGGCUUUGCGGUGCAUUAGCUAGUUGGUGGGGUAAAGGCCUACCAAGGCGACGAUGCAUAGCCGACCUGAGAGGGUGAUCGGCCACACUGGGACUGAGACACGGCCCAGACUCCUACGGGAGGCAGCAGUAGGGAAUCUUCCGCAAUGGGCGAAAGCCUGACGGAGCAACGCCGCGUGAGUGAAGAAGGAUUUCGGUUCGUAAAGCUCGGUUGUUAGGGAAGAAUGAUUGUGUAGUAACUAUACACAGUAGAGACGGUACCUAACCAGAAAGCCACGGCUAACUACGUG
rnacentral:rRNA from 1 species